rnacentral:piRNA from 1 species
UGAAGAGUUGGUCUUUGAAUGUGUUCUC